UGGGGAAUUUUGGACAAUGGGCGCAAGCCUGAUCCAGCAAUGCCGCGUGCAGGAUGAAGGCCUUCGGGUUGUAAACUGCUUUUGUCAGGGAAGAAACGAGUUUCUCUAAUACAGAGACUUAAUGACGGUACCUGAAAAAUAAGCACCGGCUAACUACGUGCCAGCAGCCGCGGUAAUACGUAGGGUGCGAGCGUUAAUCGGAAUUACUGGGCCUAAAGCGUGCGCAGGCGGUUAUAUAAGACAGAUGUGAAAUCCCCGGGCUCAACCUGGGACCUGCAUUUGUGACUGUAUAGCUAGAGUACGGUAGAGGGGGAUGGAAUUCCGCGUGUAGCAGUGAAAUGCGUAGAUAUGCGGAGGAACACCGAUGGCGAAGGCAAUCCCCUGGACCUGUACUGACGCUCAUGCACGAAAGCGUGGGGAGCAAACA
rnacentral:rRNA from 1 species